rnacentral:rRNA from 1 species
ACCCUACGGGACGCAGCAGUGGGGAAUAUUGGGCAAUGGGCGCAAGCCUGACCCAGCAACGCCGCGUGAAGGAAGAAGGCUUUCGGGUUGUAAACUUCUUUUAUGAGGGACGAAAGAAAUGACGGUACCUCAUGAAUAAGCCACGGCUAACUACGUGCCAGCAGCCGCGGUAAUACGUAGGUGGCAAGCGUUAUCCGGAUUUACUGGGUGUAAAGGGCGUGAAGGCGGGAGUGCAAGACAGGUGUGAAAAUUAUGGGCUCAACCAAUAACAUGCAUUUGAAACUGUAGUGCUUGAGUGAUG